GGGUCAGUAGGUUGGUCGUGCCACCGGUACGUACUGGUCUCACUGAUUCCUCCUUCCUGAAGAACCGUAAUGCCAUUAAUUUGGUGUUGCGGGGAAACAGGACUGUUACUUUGAAAGAAUUAGAGUGUUUAAAGCAAGCUAACGCUUGUAUACAUUAGCAUGGAAUAAUGAAAUAGGACGAUCGAUCCUAUUUUGUUGGUUUCUAGGAUUGACGUA
rnacentral:rRNA from 1 species